CACGGGGGGAGCAAGCGUUGUUCGGAUUCAUUGGGCGUAAAGAGCUCGUAGGUGGCUCUGUAAGUCGGAGGUGAAAGCCCACGGCUCAACCGUGGAAACGCCUUCGAAACUGUGGAGCUUGAGGCUGGGAGAGGAAAUUGGAAUUCCUGGUGUAGCGGUGAAAUGCGUAGAUAUCAAGAGGAACGCCUGCGGCGAAGGCGGGUUGCUGGGCCGACACUGACGCUGAGGCGCGAAAGCUAGGGGAGCGAACGGG
rnacentral:rRNA from 1 species